rnacentral:rRNA from 1 species
UACGUAGGGUGCGAGCGUUGUCCGGAAUUACUGGGCGUAAAGAGCUCGUAGGUGGUUUGUCGCGUUGUUCGUGAAAUCUCACGGCUUAACUGUGAGCGUGCGGGCGAUACGGGCAGACUUGAGUACUGCAGGGGAGACUGGAAUUCCUGGUGUAGCGGUGGAAUGCGCAGAUAUCAGGAGGAACACCUGUGGCGAAAAGCGGCUCACUGGGCCGAUACUGACGCUGAGGAGCGAAAGCGUGGGGAGCGAACAGG